GGUGGGACAGUACGCAUUGUUGGCCUCUGGAGUCAGAGUGAAGCUCCAGCCUCUCCCUGCCCUCCUCCACCCUCGCCUCUUAAGGGAAAACAAUGUUAAUUUCUGAGGACUUUGCUGGGCCAGAGUGUUGAGGCUGACGGCAGAACUUCUGGUGGGAAGUCGCAAAAGCCCAGGUGACCUGACAGAAUAGCCAGAGGCUGGUCCCAGGAAGAUGAAGCCCAGUUUGAGCUAAAGAUGGCUGGAAGUAACAAAGCCUCUUCAAGUGGAGGUAGCAGUGAGGUUAAUGAAGCCAGCUUCAUUCCACUCCCUAAUCACAUUCCCAGCUGAGGAUAAACAGCAACAUGGAACUCAGAAAAGAACAGAGAAAUCUACAGCAGCAUUGUUCCAAAUGGAGUCUGCAUAGAGGAGUGGGUCUGAGAACUGCCUAUUACUGGUUCAUGGAAAGAUAAGCACAGGGAUAAAGAGAAAGAAAUUAUAAUGUUUAGAAA